GACGGAGGGUGCAAGCGUUGUUCGGAUUGACUGGGCGUAAAGGGCGUGUAGGCGGUCGGCCAAGUCUGAUGUGAAGCCCGAGGCUCAGCCUCGGAAGUGCGUCGGAAACUAGUCGGCUGGAGCGCGAUAGAGGAGGGUGGAAUUCCUGGUGUAGCGGUGAAAUGCGUAGAUAUCAGGAGGAACACCGGCGGCGAAGGCGGCCCUCUGGAUCGUUGCUGACGCUGAUACGCGAAAGCGUGGGGAGCAAACAGG
rnacentral:rRNA from 1 species